rnacentral:ncRNA from 1 species
AUGAACCACAAGCGGUGCCUAUUGUGCUGAGAUGAUACGCUUGAACCUGUAAGGUAAUGCUUGCGCAGGAAUGUGGCUUCUGGUUCAU